rnacentral:rRNA from 1 species
UGCCAGCAGCCGCGGUAAUACGGAGGGUCCGAGCGUUAAUCGGAAUGACUGGGCGUAAAGCGCGCGUAGGUGGUUACUUAAGCUGGAUGUGAAAGCCCCGGGCUCAACCUGGGAACUGCAUCCAAAACUGGGUAACUAGAGUACAGUAGAGGGGGGUAGAAUUUCAGGUGUAGCGGUGAAAUGCGUAGAGAUCUGAAGGAAUACCAGUGGCGAAGGCGGCCCCCUGGACUGAUAUUGACGCUGAGGUGCGAAAGCGUGGGGAGCGAACGGGAUUAGAUA